CCUACGGGUGGCAGCAGUGGGGAAUAUUUCGCAAUGGGCGACAGCCUGACGCAGCGACGCCGCGUGAGGGAUGAAGGUCUUCGGAUCGUACACCUCUGUCAGCAGGGAAGAACGGUCACUGUGCUAAUCAGCAGUGAAUUGACGGUACCUGCAAAGGAAGCACCGGCUAACUCCGUGCCAACAGCCGCGGUAAUACGGAGGGUGCGAGCGUUAAUCGGAAUUACUGGGCGUAAAGCGCUCGUAGGCGGUAUGUCAAGUCAAGGGUGAAAUCCCCGCGCUCAACGUGGGAACUGCCUUUGAAACUGGCAAACUGGAGUGUGUGAGAGGAUAGUGGAAUUCCAGGUGUAGGAGUGAAAUCCGUAGAUAUCUGGAGGAACAUCAGUGGCGAGGCGACUAUCUGGCACAUAACUGACGCUGAGGAGCGAAAGCGUGGGUAGCAAACAGGAGUAGAUACCCUAGUAGUC
rnacentral:rRNA from 1 species